rnacentral:miRNA from 1 species
AAGUAGUUUCAUGAUAAAGGGU